UACGUAGGGGGCAAGCGUUGUCCGGAAUUAUUGGGCGUAAAGAGCGUGUAGGCGGUCCGGUAAGUCGGCUGUGAAAGUCCAGGGCUCAACCCUGGGAUGCCGGUCGAUACUGCCGGACUAGAGUUCGGAAGAGGCGAGUGGAAUCCCGGUGUAGCGGUGAAUGCGCAGAUAUCGGGAGGAACACCGUAUGGCGAAGGCAGCUCGCUGGGACGUUACUGACGCUGAGACGCGAAAGCGUGGGGAGCAAACAGG
rnacentral:rRNA from 1 species